CGAGCGGUAAACAGAGAGCUUGCUCUCGGGUGACGAGCGGCGGAGGGUGAGAAAUGUCUGGGAAACUGCCUGAUGGAGGGGGAUAACUACUGGAAACGGUAGCUAAUACCGCAUAACGUCGCAAGACCAAAGAGGGGGACCUUCGGGCCUCUUGCCAUCAGAUGUGCCCAGAUGGGAUUAGCUAGUAGGUGGGGUAACGGCUCACCUAGGCGACGAUCCCUAGCUGGUCUGAGAGGAUGACCAGCCACACUGGAACUGAGACACGGUCCAGACUCCUACGGGAGGCAGCAGUGGGGAAUAUUGCACAAUGGGCGCAAGCCUGAUGCAGCCAUGCCGCGUGUAUGAAGAAGGCCUUCGGGUUGUAAAGUACUUUCAGCGGGGAGGAAGGUGUUGAGGUUAAUAACCUCAGCAAUUGACGUUACCCGCAGAAGAAGCACCGGCUAACUCCGUGCCAGCAGCCGCGGUAAUACGGAGGGUGCAAGCGUUAAUCGGAAUUACUGGGCGUAAAGCGCACGCAGGCGGUCUGUCAAGUCGGAUGUGAAAUCCCCGGGCUCAACCUGGGGAACUGCAU
rnacentral:rRNA from 1 species